rnacentral:rRNA from 1 species
CACGUAGGGCGCAAGCGUUGUCCGGAAUUAUUGGGCGUAAAGAGCUCGUAGGCGGUCUGUUGCGUCCGCUGUGAAAACUCGGGGCUUAACCCCGAGCCUGCAGUGGAUACGGGCAGACUAGAGGUAGGUAGGGGAGAAUGGAAUUCCCGGUGUAGCGGUGAAAUGCGCAGAUAUCGGGAGGAACACCGGUGGCGAAGGCGGUUCUCUGGGCCUUACCUGAC